UACGUAGGGGGCUAGCGUUGUCCGGAUUUAUUGGGCGUAAAGAGCGUGUAGGCGGCCAGGUAGGUCUGCUGUGAAAACUCGAGGCUCAACCUCGAGACGUCGAUGGAAACCGUCUGGCUAGAGUCCGGAAGAGGAGAGUGGAAUUCCUGGUGUAGCGGUGAAAUGCGCAGAUAUCAGGAAGAACACCGAUGGCGAAGGCAGGUCUCUGGGCCAUAACUGACGCUGAGAAGCGAAAGCAUGGGGAGCGAACAGG
rnacentral:rRNA from 1 species